rnacentral:lncRNA from 1 species
GUUAUAAACAUAUUUACAUCAGUUGAUAUUUGCAUUAAUCUGUAAUGUGUUAACCGUUAACGUCAUUUGGCAAGACUUUUUUAUCAUUAUUCGUAAUGAAAUUACCCUCAUGUACUUGACGUCAUUCUCAAAACCGAACAACUCUCACAAAGCUAUGUAUACGCGUAAUUAUAUUUUUUGCUAAUUUUAUUUCAUUUUUAAUUGUAAACAAUGAAAUGCAAUAUUAUAUUAUACACCCAGAAAUAAAUAGUUAAUUCUAGGUUUAAUGAAAUCAAUUGCAAUCUCAUGUUAUAUCGGCCUUCUUUGAUGUUAUCGAUAUCAGCCCGGUUGCAGACUUCAUCAAUUUUUAUGACUUCAUGUAAUUGAUUCAAGUCGCAUUUCCAAAGGUUUAAUUUGGCCCCUCACAUGGCCCAGCUUUUAAACCCGAUUUAAUCUACAAUUUUCUACAUAAGAAAAUGUUUGUACCAAGUCAGGAAUAUGGCAGUUUUUAUUCAUUCAUUUGAUGUGUUUUAGUAUUAGAAUAGAUUACCUUAGCCGUAUUUCACACAACUUUUUGGAAUCUGGGGUCCUCAAUGCUCUUCAACUUUGUACUUGUUUGGCUUUAUAACUAUUUUGAUCUGAGCGUCACUGAUGAGUCUUAUGUAGACGAAAAGCGCUUCUGGCGUAUUAAAUUAUAAUCCUGGUAACUAUUAGUUCUAUAUUUUGCCGUUUGACUGGGGACUUUCUGUUUUGAAUUUUCCUCCGAGUUCAAUAUUUUUGUGAUUUUACUUUUUUGUUUAUGUAUGGUGUCAUGUCGUAUAAAAACGUUUACUUUGGGUAUAUAAUUAACUAGGCGGCAGUAGUUUGUCCAUGUUGAAAUGAAAAAAACGUCAUGCAUCCUAGGCGCUUUUCUGGAUUAACAUUCAUCAGGAACUCUCAAAGCCGAAUAUUUGAAGUCAAGGAUGAACAGUUGAAGAGUUAUAUAUAACUACGAAAGACAUAUUAGAUAGCCAACAUUCAUCUGAGACAAACUUUCAUUGAGGGAGUUGAAACUUUAGUUUCUUUACAAUUUGUUAAUCGAUCAGGUAGUGAAUACAAAAAACGGAAAAACUAUAAAAGGUGCAUCGACAAGGUAUCAAAGGUAUAUAAUAUAAAAUUGAGAAAGGAAAUGGGGAAUAUGUCAAAGCGACAACAACCCGACCAUAGAGCAGACAACAGCCGAAGGCCACCAAAGGAUCUUCAAUGUAGCGAGAAACUCCCGCACCCGUAGGCGUCUUUCAGCUGGCCCCUUAAAAAAUAUGUAUACUAGUACAGUGAUAACGGACGUCAUACCAAACUCCGAAUUAUACACAAGAAACUAAAAUUAAAAAUCAUACAAGACUAACAAAGGCCGGAGGCUCCUGACUUGGGACAGGCGCAAAAUUUCAGCGGGGUUAAACAUGUUUAUCUGUAUCAAAGUUCCAUUAACAUCAAUAUGCUUUUUUUCUACUGGAGCACCUAACAUCAACCAAAGUCUUUAGUUCCUGAAUGUUACGCUUUUUUGUUUUUUAGUCCUGACUUUUUUUAGUUUGUUUUCAGUUUAUGAGGUCGAAUAUCAUAUGGGUAUCUGUUGCCUCCCUUUUUCAAAAGUGGCAAUGCGGGUCGAAUGUGUAUAAGAAAAAUUUACAUGGAAAAAGCCCCUCAAAAAUCUUGAAACAGUAAAAACAUUCCCUAUAUUAAAUAAGGAAUCAACAAAUUAUGUUUGUCUCCACAAGCACGUGUUUGAGUUGAAAGCAAUCCAUAUGUGGACAAAAGCAAAUUAUACCUACAAAUAAACAAACACAUGCAACAUGAAAGUGUUUAAGAUUAUUUUGUAUCACAUUUUAAAU